GCAGGAUUAGCCAAGAAACUUUUGCUAAAAGAGUGCGCAAUUCCAAUUUUGCGUGGAAUACCUGCAGACGAGGGACAUGCAAGUAGUUCUAUACAAUUAGCUGUCUUUAUUUUGCAAUUCUACACGAACUAACCAAGAAGUGUUUUGGCAAACUAACAUUUUAGCUAGCUAGUGUUUUGCCACAUAGUACAAGGUAACGCUAACCGCUAGCUUCUAGCUAUUAUAAUAUUGUAUUUACAAACGGGAAUAUGUUAGCGUUGUUUAGACCAUUAGACCGUUACUACGCUCUCCCCGCUACCAUGGUAACAUUUAGAGUGGGCAUGGGCAAAGGAGCAGCAGCUAAUGAAUAUGCAAUGAGCAGCAGAAAACAGAACAUUUUGAAAGGGACUGAAACAGAGGGUAAUAGAGGGAGAGACAGGUGUCACAGUCCCAGAGUCCCCAACGGUUUGAAGGCUUCCCCUGUCUGCCUCACCACAAUAUUGAAUGCCCCUGUCACUAAUGAGCUCCUCAAGGAAGACAACUUAGGUGUACCCUACCCAAGCCUCAGUGUAAAGUCCUGUCUUUCAGUUGUGACAUCUUGUACCUUGAUAAUGUAUAUGUUUGAUUUGUUUGUUUCUUUGAAAGUUAAGUAAAGUCACUUGUGCG
ensembl:lncRNA